AAAGUACUCCUCCGUCCCAAAAUUCUUGUCUUAGAUUUGUCUAGAUACAGAUGUAUCAAGUCACAUUUUAGUAUUAGAUACAUCCGUAUCUAGACAAAUCUAAGACAAGAAAUUUGGGACAGAUGGAGUAGUUG
rnacentral:pre_miRNA from 1 species